GGGGGUGUAAUUGGUACUCGACCUGCAAAGUACGGCAGAGACAGCGAGCCGAGAUUGCUAUUAACUCGUUAACUAGUAGCAACUUAAAAUUAUCUGCAAACGAUAAUAAUUAUACUUUAGCUGCUGCGUAAGCACCAGCUUUAUGCUUAUAAGCCUCUUGUCUGUGGAGUCUUAUAAGUACCAUAAUCAGCAGACUACUCACUUUCUAAUGCUUGUAGGAUAGUGGGGAACUUUACAAGCUAGUACCUUAAUAUCAUGCUUGUAUGAGAUUAGGGUAUGAUUCUAAAUUACAAGCUACGCUCGUAGAACCUCUAGUUAAGCUUUGUAGGGACGGCGGUUCGACUCCGCCCACCUCCACCA
rnacentral:tmRNA from 1 species